UCAGGAACCAUGGAUGCAUUGGGAACUUAAUACCAUCUUAUUCAUUAGUGUGACUGGAAGAAAAAGGAGCAGAAUCUAAAUGUCUCCAAGCACAUCACUGAAAGAUUACAAAGGCUGUGGUGAAUGAACACAUGGAACUGCCCUCAGGAACUGACAGGUGCAGUAACAAAAAGUGCACAAUAAAGGAGACAGACAGGCUGCUGAGGCUGUUAUUUUUU
rnacentral:lncRNA from 12 species